rnacentral:tRNA from 1 species
GGGCUAGUAACUCAACGGUUAGAGUAGCGGACUCAUAAUCCGUUAGUUCGGGGUUCGAAUCCCUGCUAGCCCA